CAACGCUUUUGAAGGUCAAGGUGAGAACAAUGGCGGCCCCCAUGCAGCGUUCAAUGUUAAAGUUAUUGAAAUCGACUUCAGCUGGUGUGAGAAGAUCUCUGAAUGAAUCAAGUAGAGUAACUGGAAUUCUUGCUCAGAGUAAAAACUAUUCAACUGAACCCCACUUUAGUAAAUAUGGAGGAAGAACGACUGUGACCGCCCUAACUGGAGACGGAGUGGGGCCAGAACUUUUGUCCUAUGUCCAGGAAGUGUUCCGACAUGCAGGUGCCCCAGUGGACUUUGAGUCCUUGGAAAUAAGUGGUAAUACGAGUGAUGAAAAUAUGUUACGCAGCGCUAUCCUGUCUGUGCAGCGUAACGGCAUAGCUCUGAAAGGAAAUAUAGAGAGCAAGUUCGAUGAGCCAGGAUUUCAGUCCAUGAAUGUGGAGUUAAGGACCCAGUUGGAGCUGUUUGCCAGUAUUGUGUGGUGUAAAUCUAUCCCUGGGGUCCACACACGACAUCUGGGUCUAGACAUCAUCUUAAUACGCGAGAACACGGAGGGAGAAUACUCAAAUCUGGAGUACGAGAUUGUACCUGGAUGUAUAGAAAAUCUGAAGAUCAUAACAGAAGCUAAGUCAUCCAAGAUCGCAAAGUAUGCUUUUGAAUUUGCCAAGAAGCAUGGAAGAAAGAAGAUCACUGCAAUACACAAAGCAAACAUAAUGAAAUUAGGAGAUGGACUAUUUUUAGAAUCCUGUAGAAAAGUGGCGUCCCAGUAUCCAGACAUAGAAUUCAACGACAUGAUUGUGGACAAUGCCAGCAUGCAGAUGGUCUCCAGGCCUGAACAGUUCGAUGUUCUAGUGAUGCCGAAUCUCUAUGGUAACAUUCUGAGUAACAUCACGGCAGGGCUAGUGGGAGGUCCGGGGGUCGCGUCGGGGAUGAACAUCGGAGAUGAGUAUGCAGUGUUUGAAAUGGGAACGAGGAGUUCUGGUCGCAGUAUGAAGGGGAAAAAUAUCGCUAAUCCCACAGGGAUGCUCCUAGCCAGCUGUGAUAUGCUGGAUUAUAUAGGAUAUAAACACCACGGGAACUUGAUCAGAGAGUCGGUGAUGAAGGUGCUAUCAGAGGACAGGAUUCAGACCCCGGAUUUAGGAGGCCAUGCAACAACAUUAGAAGUUGUACAAGCCAUUAUAGAGGACAUCAAACCAAAGACAUCCAGUUGGAGUUCUACUGCGGCACAAAAUACAUACAGCCUCCGAUGAGGACCGGGGUCAGUUUAAAACGCCAUGGCCCUAUAGGAUAGCUGCAUGAAUAGACGAGAUGAACAUGAAGAAGAUCAGAGACAGAUGAAGCUGUAAGACGCCCAAGAGAAGUCGGUGGAGUUUCUAGACAACUUUAUUAUGUGUUAUAUUUAUUGAGUGUAUCGCAGUAAAUUUAUGUCUAUUGUUUAAAUCCAUGUUAUAGUUGCUAAGUAUGUAUGUUUUACGUAAUGUAGAUGAUGUUUUAUUGACGGAGUUAAAAUAGAAACAAUACAA